AUGUUAGUCCAACAGAUACAUAUAUAUAUAACAUCGUGCAAUACAUGUUCAUGCCUCACAAAUAUGCAAAUUAUGCAACUCUUAGUCAUUCUUUACCAUUAGCCUUUCUUUAGAAUAUGCAAUUCUUUAUCAUUAGCCAUUCUUUAUUCUUUAAUCUUUAUUCUUCAUUCUUUAUUCUUUAUGCUUUAUUCUUUGUUCUUUAUCCUUUACUAAGGGCACUCGCGCCUUAGGCUCAUCAUACACAUUUGCCAUUCUUUAUAACAUUAACACGUCUUUCUCAAUUAUCACUCUUUCCUAAGGUUACAUUUACCUUAGCCAACUUUGCCACUCGACUCGGUCUUGAGUCAAUUCAUAAUGAAUACAAGAUCAACUUUCCAAUUCAUGAUCCCUUUUUGUUCUUUGUUCUUUAAUCUCACGGCUAACCCGGGGGUUUCGCCACAUUAACUUGCUUCACAUUAAGUCCAUCAUCGCAGGAACUCACCAGCUAGGACCGUCCUUACGGGUCUACUCCAACCCGGAUGCCAAACUCCGGAGCGCAUCGCCCGAGGGGGAGCGACCGCCCUCGAGCACGGAACUCAUAGCAAGUAUGAUCAAUCCUUAACUCUAAGGAUAUGUAGUUGGAUCAUGAUUUUACACUAACUCUAGUGUUCUUUACAUCACUUUAUGUUGCCACUCUAGCAAUCAUUGUUCUUUACAUCUCUUUUACUUUUGCUAACUCUAGCAAUCACGUUUUUCACAUUCCUUUACUUUAAGCUAUCUUUAGCUUUCACAUUCUUUAACUUUACACGUUCUUUAUACCACAUUACAUUACAUUAUCUUUAGCCAUUAUCAUUAUUCUUUACAUCACAUUGCUUUGCCUUGUCUCAAGCCAUUAUCAUUAGGUUCUCACAUUACAUCUCAUGCAUACACAUAGAUUAUUUAGAUUCUUAAUCAUUCUAAUAAGCACGUGUACUCACAUCAUGCAACAUCACAUUAUUAUCAUCACAUUGUUUUACAUUAUCUUUAGCCAUUAUCAUUAUUCUUUACAUCACAUUUAUUCUUUGAUGUCCCACACUAACUCUAGUGUCCACUUUACCAUUUCGAAUGCCACUCGAUCUAUGUUCAACAUGCAUGUAUUUUGUCAUCCAUUGGUAGUCAUUACUUAGCAUUUUAUGCAUUCGUUAACUGUGACACCCCAAUAGUCCCACAUCGGAUGGGACACUAGUAAUAAUAACUGGGCUUAAGCAUUUUGGGCCGGUGGUUGGGCCCAACGAGUUAUUGUUGCUAGUGGGCUGGGUCGUUACAUUUGGUAUCAGAGUCGGUUCACCAGCUGGACAUGUGUGGCGAGUCUCGGCUGAGCCAAGGACUGGAUGACGGGCUAGCGAGACGAGUCUCACAUCGCCUGGUGAUCUUGGGCUGUGUGUGUGCUUG
rnacentral:lncRNA from 1 species